CGUUGAGUUCCUUGGCUCUAGCACGGCCAAAAAUAACCCUUGGAUUUAGAAGGUCCCCGUAUACGACCAAUUUGGUGGAUACGAAGGGCCUAACUCUUGCUAUGACACCAAUCUGACUUUGCUCCCUAUCUAUGGUUGAUGUAAUACUUCUUUCGAACGUAGAGUAAGCCAACCCUCAAGGUCCCUUCAUGCAAUGACAUUCCCAUAAGGAUAGAGUAAGGAGUCCUCUCUUGUCCUACUCAAGGGGUGCAGUGGGUUUAUUUUUCCCUCCCCUCAACUGAUUGCGAGGCCCCCUAUAAGACUGUGCUAUCUCUUCCUCCUUGCAGGUCCAAGCACAAGGCGAACAAUGCCUAUCCUUGGGAUCCUAGCUUUGCAGCAGGGGGCCAAAACCACCGUUUAACUAGCUCUUUCGACAUCCUGCCGGGAGUAUGGAUCCGUAUCCGUCACUCACUCUAUUAGGCGGCUACCUGAUCGUUAACAAGUAGAAACUAUAGUCGUUUAACAGCGCAGCGCUGGAUCCUGCUUCUUUCAUGGUCCAAAAGAGCAGGUUGGAACGAACCUAUCUAAACCCAUCCAUCUUCAUUCGAUCGAUAUGGGAUCCUUAUUCCUUAUAUAAUAAAUAAAAAUCUUAUCUGUUUAACCAGCUGAUAGGCAACUACACUCCCUUUUGUAUGCAUGCUGGUAAGACUGAUAGACUGUCAUUCUAUCCCUUUUCUUGAAAGAGCGUAUAUGAUGGUUAUGAAUGGAUAAAUGCAAUGAUUGAUCCCACAGCGCUUUAUUUAGCAAGCCAUACAGUAGUAAGGUUAUAUGAAAACAGACCAUGAUAUAGACAAGGGGCUAGAUCGUGAGAAGGGCAUUAUAGAAAAAAUACCCUAACAAUUUAAGGCAGUGGCCCGUCAUGACUGUAUCUCAAAGGAAAACCUGUAAUAGGAGCUAAUGGAAGAAGGAUAAUGUGAUCAAUCUCCAGUCCUUUACACCCUCCUGACUAUGCCCCUUGUGGUCAACUGAGUCGUGCAGCACAUCUUUUCGUAUCUUGAC